AGCUUUGCGCACUGGCAGUAUCGUAGCCAAUGAGGUUUAUCCGAGGCGCAAUUAUUGCUAAUUGAAAACUUUUCCCAAUAAAAUCCUUUCCUCAUGCCUAAUUCUUGUAUGCCAUUGUCAGUGCUUAAAAUAUCAAAAUAUAAGCAGAUACAUUCUGUAUUUAUCUUUGAGGUUCUGGAUA
ensembl:snRNA U4 U4 spliceosomal RNA